rnacentral:rRNA from 1 species
UUGUAGAACGGGCCAACGAGUUACGUUAAGUAGCAAGGUUAAGCACUUAAGGUGCGGAGCCGUAGCGAAAGCGAGUUUUAACUGAGCGUUCAGUUACUUGACGUAGACCCGAAACCGGGCGACCUACCCAUGAGCAGGAUGAAGCGAAAGUAAAAUUUCGUGGAGGUCCGAACCCACGAGCGUUGAAAAGCUCGGGGAUGACUUGUGGGUAGCGGUGAAAUUCCAAUCGAGCCCGGAGAUAGCUGGUUCUCCCCGAAAUAGCUUUAGGGCUAGCCUCAAGGUGAGAGAUACGGAGGUAGAGCACUGAAUGUCCUAGGGGGUAUUGCACCUACCGAAGACUAUCAAACUCCGAAUGCCGUCAUCUUAUACUUGGGAGUCAGACUGUGGGUGAUAAGAUUCAUAGUCGAAAGGGCAACAGCCCAGAUCGUCAGCUAAGGUCCCUAAAUGUAAGUUAAGUGGUAAAGGAUGUGGGAUUGCACAGACAACCAGGAUGUUGGCUUAGAAGCAGCCACUCAUUCAAAGAGUGCGUAAUAGCUCACUGGUCGAGUGAUCCUGCGCCGAAGAUUUCCGGGGCUAAAACUUACUACCGAAGCUACGGCAUCAGUAAUGAUGGGUAGGGGAGCUUCCCAUACGGGUUGAAGCAUGACCGUAAGGACAUGUGGACAGUAUGGGAGUGAGAAUGUUGGCAUGAGUAGCGAGAUGUGGGUGAGAAUCCCACAGGCCGUAAACCCAAGGUUUCCAGGGGAAGGUUCGUCCGCCCUGGGUUAGUCGGGACCUAAGCUGAGGCCGAAAGGCGUAGGUGAUGGACAACAGGUUGAU